rnacentral:rRNA from 1 species
AGUGCGACGACGGCUCCCAGGCGACGACGGGUAGCCGGCCUGAGAGGGUGACCGGCCACACUGGGACUGAGACACGGCCCAGACUCCUACGGGAGGCAGCAGUGGGGAAUAUUGCACAAUGGGCGCAAGCCUGAUGCAGCGACGCCGCGUGAGGGAUGACGGCCUUCGGGUUGUAAACCUCUUUCAGCAGGGAAGAAGCGCAAGUGACGGUACCUGCAGAAGAAGCGCCGGCUAACUACGUGCCAGCAGCCGCGGUAAUACGUAGGGCGCGAGCGUUGUCCGGAAUUAUUGGGCGUAAAGAGCUCGUAGGCGGCUUGUCGCGUCGGUUGUGAAAGCCCGGGGCUUAACCCCGGGUCUGCAGUCGAUACGGGCAGGCUAGAGUUCGGUAGGGGAGAUCGGAAUUCCUGGUGUAGCGGUGAAAUGCGCAGAUAUCAGGAGGAACACCGGUGGCGAAGGCGGAUCUCUGGGCCGAUACUGACGCUGAGGAGCGAAAGCGUGGGGAGCGAACAGGAUUAGAUACCCUGGUAGUCCACGCCCGUAAACGGUGGGCACUAGGUGUGGGCAACAUUUCCACGUUGUCCGUGCCGCAGCUAACGCAUUAAGUGCCCCGCCUGGGGGAGUACGGGCCGCAAGGCUAAAACUCAAAGGAAUUUGACGGGGGCCCCGCACAAGCGGGCGGAGGCAUGUGGCUUUAAUUUCGACGCAACGCGAAGACCUUACCCAAGGCUUGACAUACACCGGGAAAGCAUCAGAGAUGGUGCCCCCCCUUGUGGUCGGUGUACAGGUGGUGCAUGGCCUGUCGUCAGCUCGUGUCGUGCGAUGUGUGAUUAGUCCGCACGAGCGCAACCCUUGUCCCGGUGGUUGGCCAGCCAG